AUAAACAAAAUAUUCCUUUCAUAAAAAAAAAAAAAAGAAUCAAGCCCUGGGCUUUUUAUUGCCCCCCCCCCCAUCCACUAUCAGCAGGGAGGUUUACUUGUGAUUUUGGUGGUGACCCCACAAAAUCAGGCUGAGGACCUGUAAGUCAGGAGGCUUGAGAAACUGCCUGGGGGGCCCCUUGGGCACCAGCAGAGCACCCCGGCACACAGCGAUGGGGGACCUCCUGCAGGUUUCAAAUAGAGAAGACUGUCCUGCUGCCUGUCAAUCUGUAUGGUAAUGCUGUUCUCCCAAAGAUGGAGGCACCAGGAUCCUUGCAGAGGUCCCAGGAGGGGCCCUCGCUUGGCUCGCUGAUGGGGCUCAGGGGCAGACUUCUUGUGGGGCUCCCUCAGGGCCUGCAGAGCACCGUUCUCUUAAGGCAAGAAUGGCAACCAUUAGCACGCAGGCUGCCCCUCUCCUCCCCCAUGUUGGUGGCAGACAAAACUAAUCAACUGCCUCCUCCUCAGCCUGGAUGAGACCCUGAAAGCCGUUUAGCCCUGUGGUUGUUACCAAGGGAUCUGAGACGGUGUGCGGAAAAUGUCCACCCCUGCCUCGCGCUCCUGACAUGUCCAGCUUCCUGCUCACAAUGUUUAUACUUUCCCAACAGCCUGGGGAUCACUUGAUGAGCUCCUCAAAAGUCUUGGGAUCGCGUCUUUGGAAAACUCACAUCUCUCUGGAUACCUGGUUUCUCUGCUCUUGUGUCGAAGGCAGAGGCAACUUGAAAAGUCCAGCACACCAUUCACCUUGGGCUGAGGGCAUCCAGAAGGAGUUUUGAACUGAUAUCAAGCAAGAGUUUCUAAUCUCCGUGUGGCGAUUUGUGUGACACACGUUUCCCCACGCUUGGGCAGUCGAGAGACUGGGAAGAAGAGGAAGCUGGUAUGUAAAGGAGGACGAAGCAAGGAUGCAGAGAGGGGUAGAAGCCAAGGAGACAGCUCGAUGUUGCCUGCGCUCCCCCCGCCUUCCCUCCCCCAUCCUCCCUGGGCCAAUUCAGAGCUCUCUGUUCUUAGAAAAAAUACUUCUGGGGCGCCUGGGUGGCUCAGUCGGUUCAGCAUCCGACUUCGGCUCAGGUCAUGAUCUCAUGGUGUGUGAGUUCGAGCCCCACACCGUGCUCACGGCUGUCAGUGCAGAGCCUGCCUCAGAUCCUCUGUCCCCCUCCCCCGCUUGCACUCUCCCCCCCAAAUAAAAUAAGCAUUUUUCAAAAAAAUAAACGACAAGAAAAAAAUGCUUCUCCUUCGCUUAAGCUGGGUCCAGUUGUUCUCAUUUGCAAUCAUAGUAAUAAUAAGAAUAAUUAAUAAAAGGCCUUUCUAAGCUCCCUCAGUGAGUGUGUCCGGUGUGGCCUUCCUGUGGAACUGACGUAUCGCGGAAGCCGCCAGGAGUGGGGGAGAAAGAUCUUGGCAGAGAGCCUGACCUGCCUGCUUUUGUUUUUAGGCAUCCUGUCCUAUCUACCAGAUGAGGCUGCGGGGGUGGUGGGCAGAGG